GCGCAAUGGCCGCAAGGCUGACGCAGCAACGCCGCGUGGGUGAUGAAGGCCUUCGGGUCGUAAAGCCCUGUCAGGUGGGAAGAAAGGCCUUGAUAAGAAACGGUUGAGGUUUGACGGUACCACCAGAGGAAGCACCGGCUAACUCCGUGCCAGCAGACGCGGUAAUACGGAGGGUGCGAGCGUUAUUCGGAAUUACUGGGCGUAAAGCGCGUGUAGGCGGGGAUGCAAGUCUGAUGUGAAAGCCCUGGGCUUAACCUGGGAAGUGCAUUGGAAACUGCAUUUCUUGAGUACUGGAGAGGAAGGGGGAAUUCCCGGUGUAGAGGUGAAAUUCGUAGAGAUCGGGAGGAAUACCAGUGGCGUAGGCGCCCUUCUGGACGGUAACUGACGCUGAGACGCGAAAGCGUGGGGAGCAAACAGGAUUAGAUACCCUGGUAGUCCACGCUGUAAACGAUGAUCACUAGGUGUAGCGGGUACUCAUUCCUGCUGUGCCGUAGCUAACGCGUUAAGUGAUCCGCCUGGGGAUUACGGUCGCAAGACUAAAACUCAAAGGAAUUGACGG
rnacentral:rRNA from 1 species